rnacentral:rRNA from 1 species
GGACUACUAGGGUUUCUAAUCCGGAUCGCUCCCCACGCUUUCGCGCCUCAGCGUCAGCAAAGCUCCAGGCAACCGCCUUCGCCACUGGUGUUCUUCCCGAUAUCUACGCAUUCCACCACUACACCGGGAGUUCCAUUGCCCCCUAGCUUGCUCCAGCCGCGCCGUAUCCGCUGACCCCGCCCAGUUGAGCCGGGCGAUUUCACAACGGACGUGCGUGGCCGCCUGCGCGCCCUUUACGCCCAAUAAAUCCGGGCAACGCUCGCACCCUACGUAUUACCGCGGCGGCUGGCAC